GGACAGGUGGUCUAUGAAGAUGCUCAGAGCACCAGAGCUGCCUCCUCCUCAGGGGUCCUCAGGAGCCAGUCCUGAAACUUGGCCCAUGGCAGGGGCCACAGCAGUUUGUAAGCAGCCUCCAGCAUCAGCAGAGUCAGGAAGAGGACCAAGAAGGCGAGGAAGAUCUUGUCCAAAGCCUGCCGCACGGGCCCCCGAGGAGGAAUGGGACCCUGGGCAAAUGCUAGGAACACGUCCCCCUCCUCCACGCCGCCCUCUUCCUCUUCCGCCAUUUUCAAGCAGUCAGACAGCUGGCUAGCUCAGCGAGGGGAUGGAAGCCGGCUCAGCAUCGCUGGGAUUAAAGGGUAAAAAACCAGACUGUGAAAAUGUUACUGCGACUAGCAUGGGAGAAGCUGAACCAAGUCUCCUGAUAAAUCCUGAAGACAUUGUCCCCAAAGAACCAGGAAGUCCAGAAGAGACUAUCCGGACAAUCCAGACACCAGGUGACAGAGUUUCUCACCGGAAUAACAACGUCUUCUGAGAUCAACGCUGUGGUUGGAGCUGUCCCCUCGAUGUGUUCCCACCUACGGUGUUCCAACCAUCCCAUCUGACAUCUCUGCUCCCGGAUUCGUCGAGUCAGUGACGUGAAUAACUACGGUGACGAAGGCAAUGCUUAGUCUCUGCUGCACCCCUCCAUCUUCUCCCAGAGAGACUUCUUCAAGACCAGGUCAAAGGAAGAGGUACAGAGAUCACCUCCAACUUUGGACUUAGCAAUGAUCACUAUUAUUUUCGUGACCACCAUUGUUGCUGUUGUCUUUUAUUUUGUUUUUUCGAGAUGGCAUUCACUGCUUACCCUUCUCUGGCCUGGUACUCACUAUGCAGCCCAGACUGGCCUUCAGGACUUGGUGGUUUUUCUGUCUCGGCUUCCCAAAGCAUUGGGAUUGCGGGCACGAACAAACAUACUUGACUAGUGUCUUAUUGAUUUGUUUUGUUUUGAGACUGAGCUUUGCUAGGUAGCCCAGACUGAAUGUGAAGUCAUGAUCC
rnacentral:lncRNA from 1 species